rnacentral:lncRNA from 1 species
UGAUUUUGAUGAUGGAUGCGAUUUUAUUGAUGACCUUCUUCAUGCAUGCUUAUUGGAGGAAGAAGGCGAUGAUCAUGUAAAGACGCACGAUAUGAUUCGUGAGAUGUCAUUAUGGAUAGCGUGCACGGUAGACAAGGAGGAGCAGAACUUUCUGGUUCGCGCUGGAGUUGAAUUGACCGAAGCACCAAAGGUUGAAGAAUGGGAAGGUGCCAAACGGGUAUCUCUGAUGGAAAAUAAAAUUGAAAGCCUAUCGGAAAUUCCCACGUGUCCGCGUCUCGUAACUUUACUGCUGGAUGAAAAUCGGAUUGAGGAGAUCACUGAUGGCUUCUUUCAAUCUAUGUCGUCUCUUAGAGUAUUAAGUCUAAGAGGAAAUUUUCCCCUAAGUACACUACCUUCGGGGAUUUCAGGUUUGGUUUCAUUGCAUCAUCUUGAUCUAUCAUCGACUCACAUAACUGGGUUGCCGCAAGAGCUGAAGGCGUUGGAGAAGUUGAGAUAUUUGAACUUGGACUAUACAGAGUACUUGUCCAUAAUUCCACAUCAAUUGAUAUCUGGCUUUUCAAAGUUGGAGGAACUCAGGUUGUUUGCGUCCGGUCGCUGGGGCGUAAUAGAGGAAGAAGAAGGUAACGUUCUAUGUGAUGAUGCUGAACCUUUGAUGAAGGAAUUGCUGGGUUUGAAGCAUUUAAAUGUUUUAAGCUGGUCCUUCCGAAGUUCACUUGCUGUCCAAAAGUUUUUGAAAUAUCCAAAGCUGGUUAGCAUCACUCAAUCUGUAUGGGUUGAAUGUGGCAUGUAUACAAGGCCACCGUUCAAUGUCUUACAUCUAGCAUAUAUGGAGAAUCUUCAGGAGUUGCGUCUUUCUCAGAGUGAUUUGGAGGAGAUGAAGAUUGACAGCACAGAAGAGGUGAAGAAGCUUUUUCAAAGUGGUUUCCGCAGUCUCGACACAGUUGAUCUAUUUUAUUGCCAAAAAGCGAAGGACUUAACGUGGCUUGUUUUUGUUCAAAACCUCAAGGAGCUGCGUAUAGUGUAUUGUGAAUACGUGGAAGAAAUUAUCGGGGCUGAUAAAUUGAGAGAUAUUUCAGAGAUAGUGGGGUCAGAGCAUAACGUUUUCGCAGAACUCGAAUUUCUAUCCUUAUGGGGGGGAAUAAAUUUAAAGAGCGUUUACCCGAAUCCCCUGCCCUUUCCAAAGUUGAAGAAAAUUCAAGUACUUCAUUGCCGACAGCUGAAGAAGCUCCCACUCAAUUCCAGCAGCGCGAAGUUACGUCGAGCUGUCAUCGAGGGAACGAAAAAGUGGUGGGAAGAGCUACAAUGGGAGGAUCAAGCCACCCAAAAUGCUUUCUCUUCCGGUGCCGUACUUACUGAGUUUCCUUUUUAUUAAUAUGUUUUAAUAUGUAUUUCUUUUUCUUUUCUUUUUUUAAUUUUCAUUAGAUUUAAUUGCAUCUUGUUCUUGUUGUCUGGUGUGUCAAUCGUUCCCUACUUUCAGUUAAUAAAAUUUCAGCAGUGGAUUCUUGGUUUAUUAAUGUUUAUAUAACUGAAUUGUUCAGCAGAUGUACUCUGCACGACUAACACAGAAAUAAACACAGAAAUAAAUAUAUGUAAGGGGUUACAGGACUGACUCUGCUUCUGGCUUCUAAGGAGAAAGAGGGGAAAAUAAACAUUUUAUCUUCCCUUAACUGCUCUCCUUUGGUUUGAAUGUGAACUUAACACUCUUUUAUUAUUAAAAUUUAAUUAUUUGGUUGUAUAAUAUAUUUCUCCAAUAAACGAAGAAUGAUAAAGGAGCAACUAAAAAAACCCAUCAAAAUAUUUCACCAAUGAAAAGAUUCAUGAGAAAUAAACAUUAUAAUCCGAACAAAUAAAUCAAUUAGUCAAUAUAUCAUUUAGCCGAAUUAAAGACGCUGCUUGCGCUUCGUAGUUCUGAGCUUAGAAUCAAGUAGAGAACUGAAUAUGAAAUUUUUAAUUGCUGAGAAUAUGAAUUUGAGGUUGAUGGACGACUUGAAAGAGAGGGACAAGAAAGAAUGAUACAGAGCAGGUGGCUGGCAAAAGGGACCUUAUGACGAUCUUCUUCAGUACAGCUAUGAUGCCGCUUCCACCUUCAAUUGAAUGUCAGAAAAUUCAAAGUUUGUCAAAAGAGGAUGGUAAAUUAAGCUGUUUUUUUUUUUUCUUUUUUGCAAAAUUUACCAAGUGAAUUAAUCCAUUAUUUUAUCUAUCAAUCAGUACACAAUCUACAUUACCCCACGCUAACAAAACACUGACUAUAAAUCUAUGACUAUACAAUGCGCACUUUGGUUACUGCCCCAGCCCUCUUACCCAAAAGAACCACAAAAGCAACGAAAAACUAAAUUGAUUACAUAAUCAAAUCAAGUUCUUCUUAGCUACUGUGAUCGAUUUGUCCAGCACCAUCAGUUAAUUUCUCUAGUUUUCAGCAAAAAUGGUCGAGUUCUUGAGUCUUCUUUGCACGUUUCAUCUCAUUUAUUCUGUCGAUAAAGCUUAUACACAUCAUCCGCAACGACAACAAAUUAAAUUAAUAUGUGUCGAGUUUUGGAGCCAGAGCCAGCGGUGCAAGCGCAAGAGAAAGGGACUUCACACAAGAAUUUGCCAGACCAUGGGCUACAGAAAGGUGCCUCACUUCACGGACGCGGAAUUUGGUUGGCUCCUGGGCCAUUAAGGGUGAAUGCAUCUUUCUUUUUAUGUGAAUUUAAUUAUUGAACCCGGUAUCUUGAAUAAAUAUAAAUUUGACUGUAGCACCAAGUAUCAAUGAUUGCAAAAUGUAAAUUUGACAUAUUGUGUGGUUAAAUCAUCUUGUACUAAUCGUUUAUGUUAAUUUAUGGAGGCCUUAAUGUCCAAGGCAUACGUAAAGGGGUACAGGACUGACUCUGCUUCUGGCUUCUAAGGAGAAUGAGGGGAAAAUUUUAUAAACAUUUGUGGAGUGGCCGUAUAAAGGACGUGUGGUUCUCAAUCCAUUUCACAUUUGGCAUUGUAAUGUUUAUGGACUCAUAUAAAUGAUGUCACACAAAUAGUUAAACGAAGAAGGUGUUUGAUGAAAACGAAAGGGCCUUUUUCUUUUUUUAAAUCCCGCUAAAGGUUAUAAUUAACAACAAAUUAAUAAUAGAAGAGAGAGAAAUACCAAGUUCAAUACGGUAAUAUUUUAUCUUCCUUUUAACUGCUCUCCUUUGGCUUAUAAUGCGACCUUUACACUCGUGGACAAAAUUGUAUUUGUCGCUUAAGUCUUGCUUGUUUUAAAAUGCUGGCAUAUUUAUGGAGUGGGAACCCAGAUGCUGAACUCAUAGUAAAUAUUUAUUUAAUUUGUUAGAAUUAUUUUUGGUGGGAUAAUUUUAAAUAUUAAUUUAACAAGAUAGUGAUGUUUGCCUUGCCCUACAUGGAAAAAAUAAUAAUAAUUAAAGUUUUUUCUGUUCCUUUAUAUUAGUAAUAGAUUUCAGAUGGGAAACAGAAAAUUUAUUUCUGUUUCAAUAAUUACCAUAUCACUGUGUGCGUGCGUGAUCACAUAAUUUUGUACUACCGUCUGUGGAAUAACUUUAGGAAAAGAAAAUUAAUUUUUUUUAAGUAACAAUAAAUAUUUUAAAUUGUUUUCUUCUCUUAUCAAUUGUUUUUUUCUCCUAUCUUCCAAUGAAAGUGCAGGACCUCAAUUAUUUUAAUAGAGAUGUAGUAAUAAAUUAUUAGGGGAUCCAUAAAAUAAAUAUACAUGGUUUCAAAAAAGUUAGCACAUGCUUGUUACAAAUAUAAAAAAUUAUCUUAAAAGUCUCGGAACUUUUGUGUUCUCUUUAAUAUUUUUUUCUUAUGUUGUUAUUGUACUAUAUGGAUACAAGGGUGCGUUUGGUACGUUGUAUUAUAUUAUGUUGUAUUGCAUUAUUUUAAUAUAGGUAUAUUACAUUAUGUUGUGUUGUAUUAGUAAUGUAUUAUAAUAAUGUUGUACAAUGUUUGGUACUAUACUGUAUUGUAUUAAUUUUUAAUUAAUAUUAUUCAAAUGUAUUCAUAUUUAAAUAUUUAUUAUUAGUUAUAUUAAAUUAUUUAAAAAUAACUAGUUUAAUUAUUUUAAUAUAAUUAAAUAAUAUUAUAAUAUAUUAUAUUAUUUAAGUAUUUAUUAUUAGUUAUAUUAACUUAUUAAAAAUUAAUCAAUUAUAUAUAUUAAUUAAUAUAAUUUUACAUAUUAAUUAAUAUAAUAUAAUUAAAUAAUACAUUUUUUAGUUGUACAUUUACUAUAAUAAAAAUUAAAAUAUAAUAUAAUAUUAAAUUAAAAAUUAUAUUCAUUUAUUAUUAUUACAAAGUAUAAAAAAAAAAAAAAAAGGAAGCUAAAGCUAAUGCGGUAACUGGACACAUUAGCUAAACCCGACUAUAACAUAUGUCGGGUUUAGCUAAUACAACCAUUUGGUACCUCAGACAUGGUGCUGCAUUGCUAAUGCAAUGUAAUCCCAGGUAAAGAGGGGUACCAGACAACCCCCAAGUUCACUUAAUGUAACAUAACAUACUUUUUUUUUCUAUAUAUAUAUAUACACUACGUGGAAGUGAGCUCCUUAAGGUGAGAUUUAGCAAAAUUAUAAAUUAUUACAGCAUGAAAUUUAUUUUUAUUUAUAAUUGGCCUAAUAUAAAUUAGGACCAGUACUUUUAUAGCUAUAUGAAAUUAUUUUUAUAUAAAAUAUCACUACAUAAAUGUUUUAUUACAAUAUUAAUCUCUUUUUUUUAUUGUAUUUAUCUCUUCAUAAUCUUUUCCUUUUUAUAAAAAAAAAAAAUCAACUAAAAGAUUCAUCAACAUCUCAUUCCAACAAUCUACUAGCGAAAAUGAGUGUCCAUGCUUUUGAACCAAGGCCCGAUAUGUGAGGGAGAGAUUGUUGGGUUGUCUUACAUCGGUUGUGAACUAGGAUGGUGGUGAUUUUACAAGUGUGAGGGAAAGUCUCACCCCUUAUCCAUCUUUUGGGUUGGGAUUGAAUGAGACCCAAAACCGCUUAACAUGAAUUCUAUCACUGGGAUUUUUACCCAGUAUAACAAACAUAACAACACAAUGAAUUAUCAAUUUAUCACGUAAUGGCUCUAACUUUAGCGAUGAUCACCUUACAUGAACAUGAAAAUUAAUCCCAUUGUUUAACUCAACAAUGACGAUAAUCACUUAAACUCUUAUGCACCAAAGGAUAUACUCGCUACAGGGAAUCUUAACUCAUAAAGAUUAAUUUUAGUGGGGGGCAAAAGAGCACGAGUGAUCCAAACCACUAAACAACAUCAUAACCAACACAAAAUUUAUACUAAACAAACCAUUACCAAAACAGCAAAGCUAGACAUAAAUUUGAACAGAUACACAAGCUACAUUCAUUACCAUAAUGUAUCGACUAAAUUUCCAAGCUCUACAUUUUGAACAAAGAAUUUAUAAAAUUACAUAAUCUAAUAAAUUAAUAUAGAAAUAAAAUUGGCAUCAGAUCAAAUUACUAUUAAUGUACCUUGCAUAAACCAUUCUCUUCUAUCGGCAUUCACCUCCGCGCUCGAUUGGCUCUCCUGUGCUGCUUGUCUAAUUGAUUCAAAUCCACAUAGACAAAUUUAAGCAUAUUAAGUUUUCAAACUCAAAUCAACAGCUUUAAAAGUUACUUCACAAACAAUGAAUUUCAUUUUCGAAAUACAAAGAAUCCGUUCAGUUUAAAACAAUAAAAAAUCGUCUACGACUACUCAACUCAUGUAUGAUAACUAAAAAACGAAGGAUACCCACAAAAAUUAAAGAUAAAUUACCAAAAACCCAAAAAACUCAAGCCAAAAUUGCCAAAAAAAAAGCGAGAGAAUGGAAAUUGGCGUACCAGGGGCAGGAGAGAGGAAACGAGAAGAGGAAGAAAGAAGGGUUUUGGAGAGAGUGGGAAUUAGUGGAGGCAAAAAUGGAGAGUUUUGAGAGUGAGAUGAUUGGUGGGGUGGUGAUGGCGGUGGUGGGGUUAAUGUUCUGGAGGGUAUGCUGAAGAGAGGUCGCAAGAGAACCUCCAUAGCCUUUAAAGAGAGUUGAGUUGCUGCUUUCUUUUGCCGUGGAUGGAGAGAGAUUAAGGGAUUAGAAUUCUGUAUUGAAUUAAUUUUUUAUUAAAUAAAAAAUUAUUGUUAAAAUUUAUUUUAUUUUAAUUUUUUAUCUAGCUAUCAUUGACUUAAUAUUUUGAAUCUUUAUCCAAAGUUAAGGCACAAAAUUUUUAUUCUAAAUAAAUAUUCUCAAUAUAAAUAUAUCACUUAAAUAAUAAUGAUAAGAUUUAAUAUUAAUUCUGUCAUUACUGAAAGAAUUACAAAUUUUAUAUGACGUGCAAACGUAUCAUUAUAUUCUUGAUAUUUGAAACAUGAAUAAAGCAACAAAUGUAUCAUAUUUUUAUUUUGGUGUUGUGGUUCUCUAAAAAUUGUUGAAAGCAGCAGCUGUGAAGAGUCAACGGUUGACCUUGAUUCUGUGAGUUGGAUUUGUUGAGCUGGCAAAACUGUUAUGUUGAAGAAUAGCAGCGCAUGUGCAUUGAAUAGUUGCAUCUUCUAGAAGCUUAAUGUGAUUGGUUCACAAUUGCUAUAUUCACGGAUCAAUUUUGAUUACUUCCGUGUAAUACCCCUUAGGCUAGCUGUCAUUAUUUUUUGUCUCUGUAUGUAAACUAGCAAAGCUCUGUAUUUCAUUUUCAUUCAAGUCAUCAUUAUCAAUAAAGACCUGAUUCUCAUACUCUGUUUGCAUUUGACAGCAAUUCUUAAGAAUUUAAGUAAAAAUUAGCUUAAUUCUUUUCAUUGUACUCGUUGCUUCUCUUCCUCUUUUCGCCAACGACAAUGGGUAACCUAAUCUCAACCUUCUUACCAGCAGACUUAUUUGAUCGAACUUCAAACUGCGUUGGUGAACAAGCAAAUUAUGUAUGGGGUCUCGAAAAAAACCUUCGGGUCUUGGAGACUGAAUUGCACAAAUUGACUCGAGCAAGGGACGAUCUGAAGACCAAGGUUGAGGUCGAAGAACAGCGACGUCGAACCAGACGAACGAACCAGGUCGCAGGGUGGCUUGAAGAUGUGCAAAAACUGGAAACUGAAUUUACCGAGCUGGAACGAGUUAGAGCUCAUGAAAUCGAUAGAUUGUGCCUUGGAGGCCUCUGUUCCAAAAACUUCGUUUCAAGCUACAAUUACGGGACUCAGGUGGUCGAGUUGACGGAUCGAGUGAUCAAUUUAAAGAAAGACGGAGAAAAAAUUGAAGUCGUUGUUGAGAAGGCGCCAGAUGGUGCAGCAAUUGAAUUACCUCUUGAUCACACAGUUGUUGGUCAAGAACUAUUACUUGAUCAAGUUUGGAGAUGUAUCACUGAUCAGGAAAAUAAUAGGGAAAUUAUCGGCCUGUAUGGUAUCGGGGGAGCCGGCAAAACUACCCUUUUAAAACAAGUCAACAACAACUUCUGCCAUCAACAGCAUAAUUUUGAUGUUGUUAUCUGGGCGGCUGCGUCAACACUUCAAGAUGACAUUGGAAAAAGGAUUGGCUUUUCAGAAGACCAAAGCUGGGAGAAAAAAAGUCCUCAAGACAAGGCUGUGGACAUCGCUAGCAUUUUAAGCAGAAGGAAGUUUGUGUUGUUAUUGGAUGAUAUAUGGAAACCCAUUCAUUUAACAGAAUUGGGUGUCCCUCUUCAAAAACUAAAUGAUGGGUCCAAAGUAGUCUUGACAACUCGUUCAGCUGGUGUUUGCGAUCAAAUGGACGCUGAAAAGGUGGAAGUGUAUAGUUUGGCGCAUGAUAAAGCCUGGGAAUUAUUUCAGGAGAUGGUCGACAGAUCCACUCUUGACAGUCAUACCGGUAUUCCAGAGCUAGCCGAAACCUUGGCAAGAGAGUGUGGUGGGUUGCCGCUAGCGCUUAAAACAGUGGGUCGAGCCAUGAAAAGCCAAAGGAAAGUUGGAGAUUGGAAACGUGCAAUUCACAAAAUGAGAACAUCAGCUUCUAAAUUCUCAGGUAUGAAAGAAGAGGUGUUUUCGCGUUUAAAGUUCAGCUAUGAUAGUUUGUCUACGGAUGAACUUCGUUCCUGUCUCCUGUAUUGUUGUUUAUAUCCUGAAGACUACGAAAUUCCUAAAAGGGAAUUGAUUGAUUAUUGGAUUAGUGAAGGAUUUGUAUAUGAUUUUGAUGAUGGAUGUGAUUUUAUUGAUGACCUUCUUCAAGCAUGCUUAUUGGAGGAAGAAGGCGAUGAUCAUGUAAAGAUGCACGAUAUGAUUCGUGAGAUGUCAUUAUGGAUAGCGUGCACGGUAGACAAGGAGGAGGAGAACUUUCUGGUUCGCGCUGGAGUUGAAUUGACCGAAGCACCAAAGUUUGAAGAAUGGGAAGG